AGAGUUUGAUCAUGGCUCAGGAUGAACGCUAGCUACAGGCUUAACACAUGCAAGUCGAGGGGAAACGACAUCGAAAGCUUGCUUUUGAUGGGCGUCGACCGGCGCACGGGUGAGUAACGCGUAUCCAACCUGCCCACCACUUGGGGAUAACCUUGCGAAAGUAAGACUAAUACCCAAUGACGUCUCUAGAAGACAUCUGAAGGAGAUUAAAGAUUUAUCGGUGAUGGAUGGGGAUGCGUCUGAUUAGCUUGGUUGGCGGGGUAACGGCCACCAAGGGCGACGAUCAGUAGGGGUUCUGAGAGGAAGGUCCCCCACAUUGGAACUGAGACACGGUCCAAACUCCGUACGGGAGGCCA
rnacentral:rRNA from 1 species